AAACAGAUUGAUAGGAUUGUCCACUUUCCGACUUUGAUUGCCUAGGGAUUAGGUUUAUUGAUCAGUUCUUGUUCGGUACAUCCGGCCUAAGGAUUGUAGCUUAUCGUAUCGUUAUCUGAAAUAACAAGAUUGCCAAUUACAAAUUGAUUUGAAAUAGAUUGACCGAAGGUGUUUCGCACAUCACACCUAUCCUAGCAGUGGACGAAAGCAGGCCUUCGACAAUCGAAAUGAAGAUUCUUUUUGUGGUUUGUGGAAUUUUGUUGGUGACGUUGGCCGCGCAAGGCCGACCAGUAUGUGAAGAGUGCGACGACGAAGCUCCGUUGGCAUUUCCGGAUGAAAAUGUGCUGAAAAUUGUUAAGGUUCCACACGUCAAACAGGAACAGUCCUUCGAAGAAGCUGCACCUGGAUCAGACAUUCAAGAAACGAAUAUCAUUGAUGCUCCCGUCGUUUGCCCUGAGGGUCAGAAGCCAGACCACAAUGGAAAGUGCCGCCCAGUUUGGAACGGAAAGUAAGACGUAAAAUGUAAAUCGUUAUCAGUAUUGUCUUGCUGUUUGCGUGCCACUUGAUAAUUUACAACUUCCUGGGAAUGUACCGCCGCUGAUUGCACCUGAAUAAUGCAUUCAAGUGAUAAUUUAUCAAAACUAUGUAUAUACAGAUGCAGGAAAUAAAUUUACUUCGUAAAUUAAUACCUAACCAUUACCAUACGAAGUUUUCAGUUCAUUGAGAAGCUUGCGAGAAUAUCGUGUCCACCAUGAAGAUUACCGUCGUUAAAACCUUUGUUUUCUUGUUCCUAAUUUUGGUGAUGAAUCUAUUUCAUAAUGUCAAAGCUUCUUCUGAAGCAAACGACUCUGAAAACGAGAAACCGACGCUCAUAGAUUCAUCAAGAAGGCAGAUUUUUGUGGCUCCAGUGGUCUGCCCUUCGGGACAAAAACCGGAUCAUCGUGGAAGAUGCCGUCCAGUGUGGUCCAUGUGAAGUUGUUCAAGUCAGUUGAAGUAUAAAACAUUGUUCCGAAAGUUAUGUAAUUUUAUUAAUUUUUUCUUCCAAAUAGCGUUUUAGAAUGUUAUACAUAUGAGCUACGUUUGACGAGUUUACGAUAAUGGCCUGAUAAGUGUAUCCCCCACAUCUAUAAUCUGCAUGUAUAAGUUAUGAAAAAAUAAAUAAUCGCGCAUAAUGA